AGGACGGUGCGGGUGCCCCUGUUGUAGCGCUCCAGGGGCCAUUCCUUGCUGCUUGGUGUCCCCCGGGAUGGGGACUAUGAACAGCAGUUUGUUUGGUGCUGCCACAUGAGAACCAGAAUAUCACUCAGUUACUAAGAGUCGGGGUUUGGACAUAAUGCCUUUUCACUUGAAGAGGGAUGAAUGACUACAUCUACCUCCCCAUGCCCCCCAGAAUCCGAUGCUGUGUACCCAGGAGGUGACUGUGCAGUUCGUCUGAAGUGAAAAUGAACUCUGCAUUCUGGCCAUGUGUUUCUCGGUGGUCCCCAGAGCCGUAUUGCCGCAAAAGUGUAUGCUGUCUACACAUAGAAUGGCUUGAGAAUCUGAACGGGUGAUCUCAUCUGAGAGUCUGGGAGCUGCCCAGACCCUGCCAGGUCUGGCACGCAGCCCCAGGGAGAAGACCCCUCAUUGAGCAAGACUUCCAUCCCGGUUCACGAGGUGGGACGGCAGAGUACAGAGAAGUUGGGGACCGUGCCCAGCUGGCAGAGGUCCGAAAGUGAGAGAGAGCCUCCCUCCAGCAGCCACACCAGACAUGUGCAGCAUGUCAAGUUCUAGAGCAGAGACUGAGCCAGAGGCACCACGAGCCAAGAAAUAAGGGAGAGCCUGGGGUAAAAUGUAACACAUAAUUCAGUUUAUGGGAAAGGCCCCAUGAAGGUCAGUCUGAGCUCUGCUGACGAGACCAGUCCUGACCUCUCGUGCCUGAUAGUGAUGAGCCUGUGGUUCUGGCCUCUGCACAGGGAGGAUAUCCAUCCAGUCCCAGAUCCCCACAAGGGGACGCAGAUCCAGGGGAGCAGGCGGGUUGUUGCAAGUGCAAGAGACUCACAGAUCUCAGGCCACCCAGAAAUAACUGGAGCGUAUGCUCUCUAUGGAAGAGCAGGGUCCCAUCCACAGAGAUGCCUGCCAUUGCUACCUGGCCACAGCCAGGCUCUGUACGAACUCAGGGUCUUUGUGGAGGAAUCUCUUGUCUUUCCACAGCUCCUGAACCCAACUUGAGGGGCAGGGGUCAGAGAGAAAAGUACCAUACCUGAGACAGCAAAAAGUGAGCAAAGGGAAGCAGGUGCAGCACGACUGUGUAAACGGAAGGACCCAGCCCUUCCUA